CCAACAAUCCCAAAAAAAAAAGUUACUCACAUCAAUAAAAUAUUCCAAACAGUCCCUUAAAUACAAACUCAUUUACGCGUUUAUCUUUCCUUCUUCCCCUUUUCUUCUUAUUUAUUCUCCAUCCAUACCAAAAACCCUAGCUUACCUUUCUCUCACCGCGUAUAAUUCAUUUCCGUAUCAUCUAUGGAUAAAAAGGAUAAGGUUGAAGAUGAUCCAUUAACAGGCUGGUCACUCGAUAACAGUAUAUUGAGUGAAUUCGGUUGGAAUUUUCAGGGCGGGGGUAGUGGUGGAGCAACUGGUAAUUUUGAUCAGAUCGAUGAGGAUUUGGCAAGAAAUAGUAGUACUAAUACUCCGUCUAUUCCAGAGAAUAUUACUUCUACUACUGCUUCUGCUUCUGUUACUGAACUAACGGCGGCGGGGAAAAUCACCGAUGAAGCUGCUUCUUCCAGCUGUUCUGAUGAUCCGCCGGAGAAAUCCACAGCUUCCGGUGGAUCCUCCGCCGCCUCCCUACCGCCGUCCGAUACAGCAAGCAAGGUUAAAAAGAAGGGUCAGAAACGAAUCAGGCAGCCCCGCUUUGCAUUUAUGACCAAAAGUGAAGUUGAUCAUCUAGAAGAUGGCUAUAGAUGGAGGAAGUAUGGCCAAAAAGCUGUUAAAAAUAGUCCAUUUCCAAGGAGCUACUAUCGUUGUACAAAUACAAAGUGCACAGUGAAGAAAAGAGUGGAGAGAUCCUCUGAAGAUCCCUCAAUUGUAAUCACAACAUAUGAAGGUCAACACUGUCACCAUACAGUUGGAUUCCCUAGAGGUGGACUUAUUAAUCAUGAAGCGGCAUUCACAUCUCAAUUAGCACCCUUAGCCUCACAAUUCUACCAUCCGCCCGGUGUUCAAUAUCCUCAUCAAGAAUUAGUUCCUAUGAAUGCUGCACCAGGAUCGCGUACAAUGCCAGGUGAAACCGGAGAUCAAGCUCGUAAAUUGCCAGAGGCAAGUCAACCAGCUGCCACACAGCUGCCAACUGAUGAUGGAUUACUUGGAGAUAUUGUUCCUCCUGGAAUGCGAAGCAGAUAAUAUUAAGGCUGUAAGUACUUUGUGGGAAAAAGGUUUAUCAAGAUACAUAAAAAUGUUAGUACAGGUAUAUAUAUAGCAUGGAUGCCAUUCUUGAAUUUAGCUGGAAUCUGCCCUCUGUUAUGAAGUUAGCUAUAUAGCUUUCGUAUUUUUGCUCUAUCAUGACUUAAUGGAGAAUCCUUGGACAUAUAGCAGCUCUAGAUAUUUAAGACUAGCUAUAAUUGUAGAGUUUCACCUUCUUCUUUUUCUUUUUUUUUUAUCUCUCUUUUUUUCAACUUUAUGGUGCUGGGAUUGGUGAUUGGUGUUAGAUAGGGGGUGGGAUGGUAACAUUUGACCUGAUUUACGCUGUAAUUACGUUGCAAUUAUUGUAGUAAUAAUUCUUUUGCUUAUUUCUUGUGGAA